UCACCUGAACACAAGGACACCCAGUCAGGAAGAACCACAAAAAAGAUUCCUAUUUUUACAUUUCUUACUUUGAGAUAAGAUUUACUGAGCAGAGGCAGGUGGGUGAUGUAACUCUGCUUUCAUACCUCAAAGGUGUUUUUGGUGACUCCAGGCAGGCCAUAGUACAUGUUGCCUCCAGCGCGCGAGUUGACGAUUAUCUCUCCUAUCUCAUCUGUUUUACACAGCUGAGGAGGCCCAUCCGGCCUCACAAUGCACAUCAGAGCUGGAGACACACAAAGAUAGCUUUAGAAACAUGAUACAAAAGGCAUGACGUGCCCCACAUCCUGUACAGUAAGGGCAGAGUUUUUAUCUUCAGUGUUGACCCUGAUGACACCAUGACUCAGGCCGCUCAAAGAGAGGAUGGCUCGGGCAGGGAGGGGGGCACCAGGGACUCCCGGUCUACACAAGAGAGAGUUUUGAUCAAACAUGGACACCUCAGUCUGUCCCAUCUGUUCUUACAGAUAGCCAUCUGCCCACCAAUUCACACUGCAUCUACAUCCAACCUGCUGGUAACAAGCAGUAGUUAUGAAAAUAAACCUGGAGUGUUGUUUU